AACGCACAUUGCGCCCCUUGGUAUUCCAUGGGGCAUGCCUGUUCGAGCGUCAUUUGAGCCUUCAAGCUUUGCUUGGUGUUGGGUGUUUGUCCGCGCUUCUUUGGUGCGGACUCGCCUUGAAUAAAUUGGCAGCCGGCAAUCUGGUGGUGGAACGCAGCACAAUUUGCGAUCUCUCCCUUGAUAGUCGGCGUCCAGUAAGCUUAUACUUUUCACGUUUGACCUCGGAUCAGGUAGGGAUACCCGCUGAACUUAA
rnacentral:misc_RNA from 1 species